rnacentral:rRNA from 1 species
AAUGGGGGCAACCCUGAUCUAGCCAUGCCGCGUGAGUGAUGAAGGCCUUAGGGUCGUAAAGCUCUUUCGCCUGUGAUGAUAAUGACAGUAGCAGGUAAAGAAACCCCGGCUAACUCCGUGCCAGCAGCCGCGGUAAUACGGAGGGGGUUAGCGUUGUUCGGAAUUACUGGGCGUAAAGCGCGCGUAGGCGGAUUAGAAAGUUGGGGGUGAAAUCCCGGGGCUCAACCCCGGAACUGCCUCCAAAACUGCUAGUCUAGAGUUCGAGAGAGGUGAGUGGAAUUCCGAGUGUAGAGGUGAAAUUCGUAGAUAUUCGGAGGAACACCAGUGGCGAAGGCGGCUCACUGGCUCGAUACUGACGCUGAGGUGCGAAAGUGUGGGGAGCACACAGGAUU